rnacentral:tRNA from 1 species
GGAUUGUGGCUUAGAGGUAGAGCACUCGCCUAGCAUGGGCGGGACGGGGUUCGAUCCUCAGCACCA